rfam:Ictidomys tridecemlineatus contig036783, whole genome shotgun sequence.
GGUUGUAGCUCAGUGGUAGAGCACUUGCCUUUCAUGCAUAAAUCCCUGGGUUCAAACCUCAGCACCA